UACGGGGGGGGCAAGCGUUGUUCGGAAUUACUGGGCGUAAAGGGCUCGUAGGCGGCCAACUAAGUCAUACGUGAAAUCCCUCGGCUUAACCGGGGAACUGCGUCCGAUACUGGAUGGCUUGAGUUCGGGAGAGGGAUGCGGAAUUCCAGGUGUAGCGGUGAAAUGCGUAGAUAUCUGGAGGAACACCGGUGGCGAAGGCGGCAUCCUGGACCGAUACUGACGCUGAGGAGCGAAAGCCAGGGGAGCAAACGGGG
rnacentral:rRNA from 1 species